AGCGAACGCUGGCGGCAGGCUUAACACAUGCAAGUCGAACGGGCGUAGCAAUACGUCAGUGGCAGACGGGUGAGUAACGCGUGGGAACGUACCUUUUGGUUCGGAACAACUGAGGGAAACUUCAGCUAAUACCGUAUAAGCCCUUACGGGGAAAGAUUUAUCGCCGAAAGAUCGGCCCGCGUCUGAUUAGCUAGUUGGUGAGGUAAUGGCCUACCAAGGCGACGAUCUAUAGCUGGUCUGAGAGGACGAUCAGCCACACUGGGACUGAGACACGGCCCAGACUCCUACGGGUGGCUG
rnacentral:rRNA from 1 species